rnacentral:rRNA from 1 species
GACGAACCGUGCGAACGUUAUUCGGAAUCACUGGGCUUAAAGCGCGUGUAGGCGGCUACGUGUGUCGGGCGUGAAAUCCCAUGGCUCAACCAUGGAAGUGCACCCGAAACUGCGUAGCUAGAGUCCUGGAGAGGAAGGUGGAAUGCUUGGUGUAGAGGUGAAAUUCGUAGAUAUCAAGCGGAACACCGGUGGCGAAGGCGGCCUUCUGGACAGUGACUGACGCUGAGACGCGAAAGCGUGGGGAGCAAACAGG